rnacentral:rRNA from 1 species
UACAGAGGCCUCGAGCGUUAGGCGGAAUCACUGGGCUUAAAGCGUGUGUAGGCGGACUUCUAAGUACCUUGUGAAAUCCCACAGCUUAACUGUGGAACUGCUUGGUAUACUGGUUGUCUUGAGUCAUCUAGGGGCGAGCGGAACAAGUGGUGGAGCGGUGAAAUGCGUUGAUAUCGGAAGGAACGCCGGUGGCGAAAGCGCACGACUGGUCCUCUUCUGACGCUGAGGCGCGAAAGCCAGGGGAGCAAACGGG